rnacentral:lncRNA from 1 species
ACACAUUCAUUUCAAAACUUUUCAUAUUCCCCGCUCCUCUCUCUCUCUCUCUCUGGCGAUUCAGCCAGAUCAACAGAUUUGAAAUUCAAAUCUCGCCUCUCUCCUCUCUUUCUCUCUCUUUCUCUGGAGGUGAAUCGGAUGAUAAAUCACGCGAUUCCUCUUUAGAUCUGUGUUUGUUUCUUCUUCAGAUAUAUGAAAAAGUUGCAAACUCUCCCAACGAGGUGUAACCGCCAGAAAUCAUAUGGAUCUGGUGACAGCUAUGAUAGAUGUGGUGCAAUGGUGGAGCCGUUCAACAACAAUGACUAGAUUGAUGAUGUUUUAGUUCCUAUUCGCAGCUGUAUCCUCGAUAUCAGGCAAACUAGGGUUUGGUGGUCUUCCUUCUUACGCAGAGCAAUCUCCGUCUUCAAGAGGUUACUCGCAAGCUUGCUCAGAGAUGAGGAAAGGAUCCACCCGAUUUUUUUGGAUGUGACGCGACAAACAGCUAAGUGUUUGGAAGAGAGGCUUUAAAGUAUUGCUGAAACGAAAAGUUGGACCUUAAUGUGUUUAUUGCGCUGAGAAAGGGUCUUUUGAGACCCGUAGUUAGAUUGAAGAAUAUGAGUGUGAUGAAUAAUCAGUUCGUCUUGCUUAUGUUCAAUCGCUUCAUGUCGUUGGGAUUGACCUACGUAGAUUUGUAGAGGCUGAAGAGUUGUUAUAUUCAUCUAUCUCCCACAGAAAACGAUAAAAACCCCUGCACAUUCACCACACCCAUCACCAUCUUCACGGCACCCUGGUUGUGCUGAUACCGGUCUGGGAGAUUCCGGCAAACUAGGGUUUGGUAGGUGGAGAUUCCGGCCAUCUAGGGCUUAAACAAGUUCUCUCCGGCGACUGGAUGGUGAAGGCACCAAGCUUUUCAGCUUCAUAUUUUAUUAGACUACCUGUUAGUUUGUGGAGCAUGUGACCUUUUCCUCUUUUCAACUAAAGAGGAAAAUGGUUUCCUUGUGCCUUUUGAUUUUCACAAAAUGUUGAUUUGUUAUAUAUAGAACAUUUAAGCUUCAGAAGAUCUCUCUUGCUGAUCUGCGAAGUAGAAUUCCAAUGAGGAUUCAGGGUUUAACACUUUCAAUCAAUAGUGGACGUAACACAAUUUUUGUUGAGCCCUGAGGACUGAAGGCGGAUCUGUAGUUCUGCACACGACGGCUUGUUACUGUAAUGGUUAAGAACUGGCGUCUUUUUUUAAUGAUUGUUGAGCUUCAUGGUGUCCUGGUGGCUAUGAAGAUCCUACAAUAGUGACCGGAAUUGGAACAAUCGAUGGUGGGCGAUAUGUGUUGUGGUCAUCAAAAUGGUCGAUGCCUUACUUUUUAGAUCGUCACCAAGAUCAUUAUUCUGAUUUCAUUACAACAGCUGCCCAUCCUGCAUUUGAUGUUGUCAAUAAAGGUGCUCGACCAACUGUCCCGCAUGACUGCCUUCCAGAGUUCCAGUUGUGAGACAUGAAUUCAGAUGUCAGACCACCCUUUACCGAGGUGGUCUGAAUGCCCAUGGUGCACAAAGCUUGGUUCAGGUGCUGCAUGAUUCAGCCCAUGACUACUGAUUGAUGUGUGCGUGGAAAAAUAU